rnacentral:rRNA from 1 species
AAUGUAAUAUUAAAAACUAAAGUAUUAAUAGAUAUGUUCUUUAAAUUUAAAAAAUUUGGCGGUAUUUUAGUCUAUUCAGAGGAACCUGUUUUUUAAUCGAUAAUCCACGUUGGACCUUACUUAAUAUUAUAAAUUAAUUUGUAUACCGUUGUUAUAAAAAAUUUUAUAAGAAUAAUAAUUUUUAAUAAAUUUAAUAAAAUUAUAUAUCAGAUCAAGGUGCAGUAUAUUAUUAAGAUAAAUAUGGGUUACAAUAAAUUUAUUUAUAUGAAUAUAAAUAUGCAAAAUUUAUUGAAAUUGGAUUUGAUAGUAAAAUUAUAAAGAUUAGUAAUUUGAUUUUAGCUCU